UACAGGGGGUGCGUGCGUUAAUCGGAAUUACUGGGUGUAAAGGGCGCGCAGGCGGCGGGAUGAGUGCGAUGUGAAAGCCCCGGGCUUAACCUGGGAAGAGCAUUGCAUACUGUCCUGCUGGAGUACAUGAGAGGGUGGCGGAAUUUCCGGUGUAGCGGUGAAAUGCGUAGAUAUCGGAAGGAACGUCAAUGGCGAAGGCAGCCACCGGGCAUGAUACUGACGCUGAGGCGCGAAAGCGUGGGGAGCGAACAGG
rnacentral:rRNA from 1 species